rnacentral:rRNA from 1 species
UUCGCCCUUUUCCGGUUGAUCCUGCCGGAACCCACUGCUAUCGGGGUAGGACUUAGGCAUGUUAGUUCGUGUCUUCGAGCUAUGGUGAAUACACGGCGGACGGCUCAGUAACACGUAGCUAAUCUGCCCUCGGGACGAAGAUAACCCCGGGAAACUGGGGCGAAUAAUCGAUAGGCGAGAAGGCCUGGAAUGGUUUCCCGCCUAAAGGAUGCGGAACCAUGCUUCCAAUAUCGCCCGAGGAUGAGGCUGCGGCCGAUCAGGUAGUUGGUGAGGUAACGGCUCACCAAGCCUAUAACCGGUACGGGCCGUGAGAGCGGGAGCCCGGAGAUAGGCACUGAGACAAGGACCUAGGCCCUACGGGGCGCAGCAGUCGCGAAAACUCCGCAAUGCGCGCAAGCGCGACGGGGCUACCCCGAGUGCCGUCCGCUGA